GAACAUGAUGAGUACUGUUGUCGCCCCAGUCUUACAAGCAUCUCUCUAGAUGCUUGAUGGUGAUAGACACUUUUAUCUUACCAUCUGAUUC